rnacentral:tRNA from 1 species
GCAUCCUUAGCUCAGUUCGGUAGAGCACCUGCCUUGUAAGCAGGGGGUCGUGGGUUCAAAUCCCCCAGGGUGCA